rnacentral:rRNA from 1 species
CACCGAUGGCGAAGGCAGAUCUCUGGGCCGUAACUGACGCUGAGGAGCGAAAGGGUGGGGAGCAAACAGGCUUAGAUACCCUGGUAGUCCACCCCGUAAACGUUGGGAACUAGUUGUGGGGUCCUUUCCACGGAUUCCGUGACGCAGCUAACGCAUUAAGUUCCCCGCCUGGGGAGUACGGCCGCAAGGCUAAAACUCAAAGGAAUUGACGGGGACCCGCACAAGCGGCGGAGCAUGCGGAUUAAUUCGAUGCAACGCGAAGAACCUUACCAAGGCUUGACAUACACGAGAACGGGCCAGAAAUGGUCAACUCUUUGGACACUCGUGAACAGGUGGUGCAUGGUUGUCGUCAGCUCGUGUCGUGAGAUGUUGGGUUAAGUCCCGCAACGAGCGCAACCCUCGUUCUAUGUUGCCAGCACGUUAUGGUGGGAACUCAUGGGAUACUGCCGGGGUCAACUCGGAGGAAGGUGGGGAUGACGUCAAAUCAUCAUGCCCCUUAUGUCUUGGGCUUCACGCAUGCUACAAUGGCCGGUACAAAGGGCUGCAAUACCGUGAGGUGGAGCGAAUCCCAAAAAGCCGGUCCCAGUUCGGAUUGAGGUCUGCAACUCGACCUCAUGAAGUCGGAGUCGCUAGUAAUCGCA